AUGCAUCCCAAACCAGCUCUGAAAGUGGUUUCAGUGAGGGGAUCACAGUGCAUCUCAGAAGCACAUUGGACUUGGUUCACACUUAUAAUUAGCACCGUCCACUUAUGAUCCGCUCACCCAGGACACGUUACUGCAAGGUGUGAAAGGGGCCUUAGUCGUAGCUCUCAUAUUGCACAGCAUUAAAAGAUGCCGUGGCAAAUGGAGCUGAUGUGCACACCAACUGAGCAACUGUAGCACAUGCUCUAUUUAUACAGAGGCAUUUAUUCUCAAUAGAACGACUGGUUUUAGCUGUCUAAAUUUAUGGAUUUAUGUUGGUUUGCUUUCUUUACUUAAUGCCAUUAAGAUGAAUUGACUGGGUUUCAGAAAUUUCAUUAAAAUUGUGUGCAUAAUUAAAAUAAAUAAGUGAUUAAAACUUGACAGUGUAAUCUAUAUAAUCUAUAUGGUUUGAAGCAGUCAGUCAAGGUCUAACAUGCCUAUGCAUAAAUCUACACACACUAAGGGGCAUGAUACCAACGUUUUUACGAACUUACAGGAUUAUCAUGAAUACCAAAUUUAUUGUGUAAAUGCUCCUAUUUACAAAUUUUUUAAAUUAAAAAUUAAAUUAACAAUUUACACAUUAAAACAUCUGUAUUCUGCUUUAAAAAUGUGAAGCUCCAUGUGAGUAAACCCUGCGUAACCAUAAUGAGCACACAAAAAUUAGUAGGUGCAUGUGUUUUCUGUCUCAGUGCUGCCAUCUUUUCCUUCUCAUAACAGUUUGAGACAUCUCUAAAGCAUUUCUAAAUACUCGCGCUUUCAAGAGUACUCUUACGCUCUAAUAAUUUUUGCACAUUGUUUACAUUUUUAGGCUUACAUAUAGGAGAAAUUUUUACUUUUAAGACUUGUUUUUUCUUUUGGCAUUUCACACAAUUUAACUCAAAGUGGCUUUAUACAUGCAUACACUAUAUCCCCAAAAUGUUUAUGUAGAUACCUGACCAUCACACCUAUAUGUGCUUGUUGAAUAUCUCAUUCCAACGUUGGACUCCCCUUCACUGCUAGAACAGCCUCCACUCUUUUGGGAAGGCUUUCCACUAGAUUUCAGCCCAUUUAGCUACAAGAGCUUUAAUGAGGUCAGAUACUGACCUUAGGCCUGGUGGACAGUCAGCGUUCCAGUUCACAAGGUGUUCAGAGGGGUUGAGGCCUGUGCAGGCCACUUUGAGUUCUUCCCUACCAACCUUGGCAAACCAUGGAUCACAUUUUGUGAAUGUGUAUUGUCAUGCUGGAAUGGGUUUGUGCCUUGUAAUUCUAGUGAAGGGAAAUCUUAAAGCUACAUCAUACAAACAUCCUAUACAACUGUUUUCAACUUAGUGGCAACGGUCUGGGGAAAGACAGCAUAUCGGUGUAAUGGUGAGGUGUCCACAUACUUUUGGUCAUAUAUCAGUCCUGUAAAUCCACUAAAUGUAACAUGCUGUGGAGGUCACCACCACACCUUUUCCAUGAAGUGUGAUGGUCUGCAUAACAUUGAACUCCAUUAAGGGACUGCUUAAGAUGGCGCACACACACACAGUAUCUCACGAGACAUGAGACAAUGACAUGAGAGCAGUCAGCUGGUGGAAUAGAUUAUAUUUAUAUUGAGCUCAUCAAGACGAUUUGAAGAACAACAGAAGCAAAAAUGUCUGAUCUGUUCAGAAAACAAACAGAAAAGGCUAAAUAAAACAAGACACAUAAAACUCACUCCAUCUCACUCACUCAGCUCUCAUGCUAACUGAGAUCAGUAACCAGCAUAAACACAGAGACCGAAGAGCGAGAGAGACAUUUCAAAUUCUCAUUUAAUAAAAAUCUCUUUACAUCAAAGCCUGCAGAAUUGUACAGCUGAGUGUCUGGGUGUUUUACAGCAGGAGGCUGGCUGCAGUUGGGGGGGUGCAAUCACACAGAGCUGUGCAGAGUUCUGCACAGCACAGUUUAAUGAUUCCUCUGCUACACUUGCUGAGUGAUGACUCUGGUGUUUCUAAGCAAUGAAACUAGGACUACAACUUCCCAGUGCUUGUACUGUGUGGAAUUCUUGCCUCUGUAGCAGACCCCUAGGUUACACAGUUAUGAUACAGCCUUACAGGUGCAGAAAGUAGAGACACACUCAUCCACAGAGCUGCAGCUCCUCAAUUCCCUUUAUACAUCUACUGUAUGUGUGUGCACGCUCAUAUGUACAUACAUAAUACAUGUGUGUAUGUAAUAUAUAUAUAUAUAUAUACACAUACACACACACACAUAUAUAUAUACAUACAUAUACACACACGGCCGAAAUCACACCCCCCAACCCACAUUAUGGGUCCUGUACAAAAUCAAAUCAAAACACAAACUUGAAGAUGUACAUUCAGAACAUACACACACACACACAUCACCAUUCACACAACAGCACACACACACGAUCAGCAGUAUGUGUUGUUGAAACACCACAGUAACAACUGAAGGCAUAAAAAGGGCACUGCACUGCACUGCAGGAUGGCUUCAUGCGUGCAUUUCCCCACUGUAUUAAAAAUUGUAACAAUCUGAAGUUCUACUUGUUUAAAAACUCGAUUAAAACGUGCAUACAAGAGAGUGUGUGUGUAUACAGUAUAUGCUGUUUCUAUACAAUACAUAGUGAAAGAAAA
ensembl:lncRNA